GAUGAACGCUGACAGAAUGCUUAACACAUGCAAGUCUACUUGAUCCUUACGGGCGAUGGUGGCGGACGGGUGAGUAACGCGUAAAGAACUUGCCCUGCAGUCUGGGACAACAUUUGGAAACGAAUGCUAAUACCGGAUAUUAAUGUAGAGUUUCGCAGUGAAAUUCAUAUGAAAGCUAUAUGCGCUGCAGGAGAGCUUUGCGUCCUAUAGCUAGUUGGUGAGGUAACGGCUC
rnacentral:rRNA from 1 species